rnacentral:rRNA from 1 species
UAUCUCUGUAGAGUCUGCAUAUCAAUAAGCGGAGGAAAAGAAACUAACUAGGAUUCCCUCAGUAACGGCGAGUGAAGCGGGAAGAGCUCAAAUUUGAAAUCUUCAAGGUUCUACCUUGACGAAUUGUAGUUUAAAGAAGUGUUUUCUGUUGGAGUUUUGGUAAAAGUUCUUUGGAAUAGGACAUCAUAGAGGGUGAGAAUCCCGUAUUUGACCAUUAUUUCCAGCUUUGUGAUACACUUUCAAAGAGUCGGAUUGUUUGGGAAUGCAGUCCAAAAUGGGUGGUAAAUUUCAUCUAAAGCUAAAUACUGGCGAGAGACCGAUAGCGAACAAGUACCGUGAGGGAAAGAUGAAAAGAACUUUGAAAAGAGAGUUAAACAGUACGUGAAAUUGUCAAAAGGGAAGCGUUUGACACCAGUGUUGUUUUCUCGAAAAUCAAUUAAAAAAGGCAGGAUUUUGUGUUGUAUUGACUUUAUCAGCUUUCUGCACUCUUUUCUUGUCUUUUUUUAAUGCACUUUUCGUUUAACAAGUCAACAUCAAUUUCUUUUGUUGUAAAAGAGUCAUUGGAAGGUGGCUUUCACUUCGGUGAAAGUGUUUUAUAGCCUUUGGCUUCUGCAAUCGGAGAGAUUGAGGUCUGCAGCGUAGAUCCUUCGGGGCUAGAUACGUAGAUGCUAAGUUAUAGUUUUUUAUAGACAACUUGUUGACUAUAAUUAAUCAUGUAGCUUACUCGUUUGCGCUAUUUUACCUACGCUUAGGAUGUUGAAGUCAUCGUAUCGCGC